rnacentral:rRNA from 1 species
CCUACGGGAGGCAGCAGUAGGGAAUCUUGCGCAAUGGGGGAAACCCUGAAGCAGCAACGCCGCGUGAAGGAUGAAGGUUUUCGGAUUGUAAACUCCUGUUGUUAGAGAAGAUAAUGACCGUUACUAACUGAUCGGCACCGGCUAACUACGUGCCAGCAGCCGCGGUAAUACGAAGGGUGAAAGCGUUCGUCGGUAUGAAUGGGCGUAAAGAGAGCGGAGGCGGGGUGGCAAGUCAGAUGUGAAAUCCUAUGGCUUAACCGGAGGACUGCAUUUGAAACUGGUAUUCUUGAGUGCGGGAGAGGUAGGUGGAAUUCUGGGUGUAGCGGUAAAAUGCGUAGAGAUAUAGAGGAACACUAGUGGCGAAGGCGACCCUCUAG